AACCAAAUGCCUGGAAAACAUUUAAGGAGACCAAACCUACCAGCAUCAAAGUUUUUCAGAGUGUCAAGACAGACCUUUCCAAUUUGUGACCCAUCAGCUUGUUUUGCACCGGAUUUCUUGUUCAGUGGCAAGAUUAAGGUGAAAAUGCAGAGAAAACCAAGCACAAGGCAAACUCUAGAGGCUCUUCAAGGUUCAUUGCUGUGUGGUAGUAUUUGCUUCCUUACAGAUUCCUUUAAUCACUUCAGAUCCCACCAGUUUUUAUAUUGGACAAGGAUAACCUGUGUAAGUUCUUUUUGCCUUUUUUUUUUUUUCUCGAAGAAUUUCAUUUGUUAAGAGAUAAAGUGUUAAAAUAAUAGUGUUAACUGGUUGUGCCUCCCAAGGCCGAAACAACUGCUAGCACCUAGUUGUGAUAGCUGGUAAUCAGUCACUGUGGAGGAAUUUUGCACAAUUGUUUUAAUUCAGCUUCAUUGGAGGGUUUUCAAACAUGUUCAAGGUUAUGCCACAGCAUCUCAGUUGGAUUUCAGUCUGGCCUUUAACAGCGCCGUAGAAAGAGAGAGUUAUGACACUCCCAUUGACUUCUAUAGAAAGAAUGGAAUGCGGAAGUCACGUGGUUCAUGGAGCUGCUAAUAGUUCCAAACACCAGCAGCUCCAGCAUUGGACGUAGUUCAUUCUCGGUGCUUCGUAAGGAUUUUUUACGGUAAGUUGAUGAAAAUACAACAUUAUAUUGAUAUUGUGAGGCUUUAGUUUACUGUUCUGUAUCGCAGUUUAGCAAUAAUAUUUUAUAUCGCCAGGUUUAGUUAAUUAAGCAUGUUAACUCGCUUGUUGUAUUUUAACUGCAGCUAGCUCAUUGUAAGCAUGGCGGGUUUUAGACAGGUCUAUCUCAUUGUGUCUGAUUCAGCAUUUUAAAAUGUCCAUUACAGCUUACAUUCUUAACGUUGAUAAUUGUCUAAUUUUUAUUGUAAUUCCAACUACUGAACUAGCACAUCUUGAAAAAUACUGUGAUAUUGACAUGGUUAAUUUAGUUAAAGUUAUAGAUUGUUUGUCAAUGACGGCCACAUAAAUGGGGACAUUAUCAUUAAACGUGAUUGUGAAGAUGAGUCAUUUUUUAUUAUUCUUUUCCAGGUAAACCACAUGAAAAUGGCUUAAGUGAACUGCUGAACCUUGUUGCAUACAAAGCACCACAAAGAGUAUCCAUGGCAUUUGGGAGCUCCAUGACAGAUUUAUUGGACCUUGUUCUGAAAAGUUUUUCAACUUUCUGGACCAGACUGAAGGCGUCAUGUGAUUGCUGACACAGCACCCCUGGUUUGAAUUCCUUCAGUAUCAAUAGGGUAAUGUGCUCUCCUUCUGAAGUGUCAUCAUUUUGCUUAAUUGAACUUGAGCAUCCAUCACAGAUGUUGGAAUGUUUGAUGACUUUAUUCACAAUGUAUCCUGUAAGAUGGUACAGAAUACAUGUUUCGCUGUUGGUGAGGUCAGGAGUAUCUGUGUCUCCAAUCAGCUGCUCCACACAAAGGCCAGGACUGGGAAAUGUCUCCUUAAUGUCCAGGAACUCUGCCAGAAGACUGCCGCCAUCCUCCUGAUAGCUUCCUGAUUUUACAGUUGUAAGGAACUGCCCAACUGAGAUUGAUCUCAGUGCCUGGUGAAACUCCUCUGGUGUUGGGACUGGAUUCCUUUGCCGUAUGCAGCUGAACAAGUUUUCAAGGCAGUCCUGAGUAAACCUGCUUGUCAACACAAACAUGUGUCCAUGGUCAAGCAUGUCUUUCUGAAUACCUAAAAUUGUAGAUGUUGCCAUCACAAUUCCUGUUUGCACUGGUUUCCAGCUUCCUGUAGGACCUAUUCUAAGUCCACUGAAGAGUGCCAACAUGUCUUGGAGGAAUUUAAUAGCUUUGUGGUACUCUUCCAUCUUGUGCCUGCUGAGUCCCAUCACAGGGUGGCGAGAGGACAUGAGAUCAAACCAGUGGUUCACCUGCUCCAGAAACCAGGCUGUUGUCAGAUUAGAGGAUCUAUUGGGAAGCCAUACAUAUGGAUUCCUUUCUCUGACCGAUAGGUGCCUCCAAAUGCAGCACACCCAACCAUGGGAGGUCAGCAGAUGUGGUGACUGACUUAAAAAGGAGCUGCUGCCAAUGAUGCCAAGGAGGAUGAACCCUCAUUCAGACUUGGGCACAUUUCUACCUUGUCCAGAUUUGAUCAGAUACAGUUUAUUGGUGCAGAUGUAAUUAAUAAACUGUAUAAAUGGUAGUGCAAGUACUUAUUUAUUAAAGCU